rnacentral:rRNA from 1 species
UAGGGAAUCUUCGGCAAUGGGGGGAACCCUGACCGAGCAACGCCGCGUGAGUGAAGAAGGUUUUCGGAUCGUCAAGCUCUGUUGUUAAGGAAUAACGAGUGUGAGAAUGGAAAGUUCAUGCUGUGACGGUACUUAACCAGAAAGGGACGGCUAACUACGUGCCAGCAGCCGCGGUAAUACGUAGGUCCCGAGCGUUGUCCGGAUUUAUUGGGCGUAAAGCGAGCGCAGGCGGUUAGACAAGUCUGAAGUGUAAGGCAGUGGCUCAACCAUUGUAGGCUUUGGAAAAUGUUUAACUUGAGUGCAGAAGGGGAGAGUGGAAUUCCAUGUGUAGCGGUGAAAUGCGUAGAUAUAUGGAGGAACACCGGUGGCGAAAGCGGCUCGAUGGUCUGUAACUGACGAUGAGGCUAGAAAGCGUGGGGAGCGAACAGG